GCCACAAUGACUAGAUGUGUACUUGAGAACCCAGUACAUAGUUGAUCAAUGAACAAAACAGGAGGUAGAGAUUAUUCUGUGCACCUAGACCCGAAGAUCCAAAUAGAAGUCCAUUGAAAGAUUUAAGCUCUCCAGUGCUAUGAAACCUGCAGACACAGAAGUUCAUGAUUUAUGUACUCAAUGCAUACUGAAAAUAAAACAAAACAAAAUUAACAAAAGUUAUCAUCAGUCACUGAAGAACAAAAUCAAAG
rnacentral:lncRNA from 1 species